GACGAACGCUGGCGGCGUGCUUAACACAUGCAAGUCGAACGGAAAGGCCCCUUUGGGGGUACUCGAGUGGCGAACGGGUGAGUAACACGUGAGUAACCUGCCCUUGACUUCGGGAUAACUUCAGGAAACUGGGGCUAAUACCGGAUAGGAAUCCUUGCUGCAUGGUGGGGGUUGGAAAGCUUCGGCGGUUUUGGAUGGACUCGCGGCGUAUCAGCUUGUUGGUGGGGUAGUGGCUUACCAAGGCUUUGACGGGUAGCCGGCCUGAGAGGGCGACCGGCCACAUUGGGACUGAGAUACGGCCCAGACUCCUACGGGAGGCAGCAGUGGGGAAUAUUGCACAAGGGGCGGAAGCCGGAUGCAGCAACGCCGCGUGCGGGAUGACGGCCUUCGGGUUGUAAACCGCUUUCAGCAGGGGCGAAGCUUGUGGUGACGGUACCUGCAGAAGAAGCACCGGCUAACUACGUG
rnacentral:rRNA from 1 species